ACCGCGGUGCGGUGGGCGGGAGAGGGCGGAGGAACCCCUUCAAGGGCAAAAUGUAUUUAUUGGCACCAGUUAUGUGCCGAGCGCUGUUAUUUAAUUUUUCCAUUUGCUUCUCUCUCACUAGAUUCGAGGGCAGGACCCAUGUCUUACGGAAUCUUUACGUCCCCUCCCCACGGCAUCUCCGUGGUGCCCAGUGCGGCCAGGCAAGGAAGGUUUGGAGUCCAACCCCGGGGGACUCCCAGUUCCAGCUCCACCACUUAAGGACUGCCGUUUGCCAAGUUCCCUAACCUCAGCCUGGGACUCAGGAGAAUUGAAAAUUAUCUAGAGAUACUGGUGGGUACUUAGCAGUUUCCUGGCCACUUCCAUUGAUUUCUGCAACAAAUCCUUGUCAGGCGUCUCUAAUGGGCCAGGCACUGCCACGGGUGUUGCAGGCCAAGGAAAGAUGGAGUCCUGUCUUCUAGCCAGGGCUGACCCCAGAGCAAGAUGCCUUAUAAAACUGAGACCCUUUCACCUGGGCGGAUGGAGUAGUGGAAGAGUUGGCUGUAGCCGGAUCAGCGAAGCUCCAGGAUGUGAGCUGGUCGGGGACCUGGAAAUCACUCUCAGAGACUGCCGCCUCCCUCCUCAUGGCGUUUGCUCUCAUCAGAGGCCAUUGAUCCUGUAUUCACCAGACUAAAAUCUAAUAUCCCUGGACAAGCGUGAGGUUCCCCCAUUAGCCUGUGAAAGCUUUGCUGCCCACACUGUGCCAGAGGGUGCUGAACAGGGCAUGGGGAAUGUAAGCUCAUUCACCAAAUAGCCCCCAUCUGGCAGGUGCAGGAGGCAGGGGCCUGGGCUGGCAGAUGCACGGGCUUGGAGCCCAGAUCCCAGCUCCUCCUCUGCCCACAGGUGGCCCCUCUGUGAGUUGCAGAACCCAGGAGAAGGGUGGCUAGGCUGAGCACAGUGCCCUGCCCAGAGCAGUCGCUUAGUGAAUGUCAGUGUCCCUUUCCGUCCUUUAUUAUACGCACUGAGCCCUCCCACAGUCCUUCGAGGGCUGGAGAGCAGUGUGCCCACUUCACAGAUGAGGCGGCAGCACUCAGGCUGAUGACUACUCCUCCAGGGGCAAACUGGAGGCCGAAAUGCUGGACUAGACCAAGAAUUGUUCUCCUCGCUCCACAAAGAGCUUUGCAAGACCCGGUGUCAUCUAUAUCAUAUGCUAAAUUCCUGUGUGUAUUUGAGGACCCCAUUUUCAUGACCAUUUCAAAUCUGCUGACUCCUGGGUCAGUGUGACCUCCUCCAAGUCACAGCUCUGAUGGGGCUUCUGUGAGUUGUGGGUCAGAGCUCUUCUGAGACCAACUCGGUUGGGUUGUCCUAAGGAUGACCAAAGCCAGUUACUGGAGGUUGAUCUCACGGCUGCUUCUCUCUGCACCUGUGCCAUUUGCCCCCUUUCCAACCUGCUUCCUCUGAUUGGCCCAGCUCACCUCUUCAAACCAAGCCAGGUCAUGAAUAGCGCUGCUGAGCCUGUAGGUGGAUUGGGUGGCCUUUGAGUAAGGCUUCUACCCCAGUCCAAGGAGGUGGGACAAGGAAGCAUGAAGAGAUAGCAAGACUCCCUGGAGCCACAUCAAAACUUUGACCUGGCACUGUUUGGGGAGCCAGAGACUAUUUUAAAGUUGGGAGUGGGUGGUGAUAGGAUCAGAUCUACAAGGCACAGGCAAGGCUGCAGGGUGUGGUGGUUCAUGUUACACACUGCACAAGGGCACCACAUCCAAGGGGCGCCUUUCACAUCAUAGACCUUGUGGAGUUGUAAGUUUCCUAUGACAUUUCUUCGGCGGAAGGCAGUGAAUUGUCUUGUUCUAAUGAAAUCAGUACAUGACGGCAGUUUAACAACAGGUGGAAAUAAAAUGUCUUGGGGAAGGGAUGCCUUUCCCAAUUUGCACAGAAGCCUGCAUGGGCUGGCAGUGGCCCUGCCUUGAGCAUGGAUUUGUCAGGGAGAGGGAGAAGAGGGAGAGCGAGGUAUGAUUUCUACAUUUCCAGUUCAGAGUCUGGGGUGUAUGGCAACAGAGUAAUUGAGAUCUAUUCCAGAUGACGCACUGAGCGUCAGAGGACCCUGAGCGCAGUUUAGAAGAUGAGUUGUAAUGUUUGUACAUGCUCUUGGUCCUUUGAGUCUUAGAACUUGACCCCCCAAUGUCCUCAUGCUCAGCUGAUUGGCGAAAGAGCCUUUCCUCCCCCAGGGGUCUCUGCAGUCCCACAACCCGGGACAGGCUGGAGUAGGGGAGGGACCCUCUCUAAACAAGGCUCCCUAAUGGGAAGGCCAUUCUCACAACCUUCUCGUAUCAGAGGAGCAGAGGAGGAAGCGUCUACCCGCCGGGAGAACGUGCACCAACAAGCAGGCCUGAGGCUCCUCUUAACAGAUCAGGGAGGCAUAGCGCGGAGCCAUCCUGGUCUGUGCUUAGUAACUUCUAAGGGUGUGGAUGACACUGGCUGGCAGAGCCUCCCACUGAUGCAGAACAGUGGGCCUCUGUGCUCGGGGGCUCAGAGGGGGACAGAGGAAUCCCGACUCCAGUUGCUAGAGUGCAGGGGUCUUUGGGGCCCGACUGGGGAUGUGUCAGCAUCUAUUACUGACACAAGUGGGGUCCGGGAGACAGCCCGAGGAGGAGGGCUGAGUUGUUAUGGGCACACUGCAUCAGGACAGUUCAGUGGGAUUUAGGGAGCCCUGCCCUCUGGGCAGAGUGCUGGGGGACACACGGGUGAGGAAGACGCAGUGUUGGCAGCAGAUGCUCCAGAGGUGUUUGUCCUCCAGGCUCUGCCCCCUCCUGUGCGAGCUCUGGAACCUUCAUCUCUUCGGCCGCAAAAGGGGAGAAGAGCAGGAACCCUUUUGCUCUGCAGGCCUUCAACACUUGCACGUUCCCCUAGCAUUGCCUUCACCCUUGUGUAUUUUUCCUAG